UGGGGAAUAUUGGACAAUGGGCGAAAGCCUGAUCCAGCCAUGCCGCGUGUGUGAAGAAGGUCUUCGGAUUGUAAAGCACUUUACGUUGGGAGGAAGGGCAGUAAGCGAAUACCUUGCUGUUUUGACGUUACCGACAGAAUAAGCACCGGCUAACUCUGUGCCAGCAGCCGCGGUAAUACAGAGGGUGCAAGCGUUAAUCGGAAUUACUGGGCGUAAAGCGCGCGUAGGCGGCUAAUUGAGUCGGAUGUGAAAUCCCCGAGCUUAACUUGGGAAUUGCAUUCGAUACUGGUUAGCUAGAGUGUGGGAGAGGAUGGUAGAAUUCCAGGUGUAGCGGUGAAAUGCGUAGAGAUCUGGAGGAAUACCGAUGGCGAAGGCAGCCAUCUGGCCUAACACUGACGCUGAGGUACGAAAGCAUGGGGAGCAAACAGG
rnacentral:rRNA from 1 species